rnacentral:rRNA from 1 species
AAUGGGCGUAAGCCUGAACCAGCCAUCCCGCGUGAAGGAAGAAGGCGCUAUGCGUCGUAAACUUCUUUUCCAGAAGAAGAAAACCCCCGACGUGUCGGGGCUUGCCGGUACUCUGGGAAUAAGCAUCGGCUAACUCCGUGCCAGCAGCCGCGGUAAUACGGAGGAUGCGAGCGUUAUCCGGAUUUAUUGGGUUUAAAGGGUGCGUAGGCGGAUUAAUAAGUCAGUGGUGAAAACCUGCAGCUUAACUGUAGAAUUGCCAUUGAUACUGUUAGUCUUGAGUACGGUCAAGGUAGGCGGAAUGUGUAAUGUAGCGGUGAAAUGCUUAGAUAUUACACAGAACACCGAUUGCGAAGGCAGCUUACUGGGCCAUUACUGACGCUGAUGCACGAAAGCGUGGGGAGCGAA